UUGUUGUCUCAACUACAGGAAC
rnacentral:tRNA from 1 species